AGCUUUGCACAGUGGCAUGAUUGUAGUCAAUGAGGUUUAUCCAGGGUGUGAUUAUUGUUAAUUGAAAAUUUUUCCCAAUACUCCACCAUGACGACCAAAAAUAUAGCUGGCGUUGACAAUUUUUGAUAGUCUCUACAGAGG
ensembl:snRNA U4 U4 spliceosomal RNA